rnacentral:ncRNA from 1 species
UUCGGAACCGGCGAACGGUUCGCGGACGAGGGAGCAGUACCCGCACCACGACAAGACUGACUCAGA